UUUCCGUAGGUGAACCUGCGGAAGGAUCAUUAAAUAGUACCACAGAUUACAUAUGCAAAUAUGACAAUCUACUACUAUAUACCAUUCCGAGUACUCUUUUUCCAUGUUGCUUCCGCGAGGCAGUCACUUCAAGUGGCCGUUUGCUCCGGAUCUCCCUUCUUGGAGAGCCGGCUGUGGGCGAGAUUUCCUUGCGAAAGGUCAAUUACAAAUCCAAUUAUGUUUUUAUUUUGUGUCUGAAUAGAUUUUUUUUUCUUUCUUCUUUUAAUUAAUAAAUACAAAAAGAAUAAAAUAAAAUACAAAACUUUCAACAACGGAUCUCUUGGUUCUC
rnacentral:misc_RNA from 1 species